GCGAAGCCCUGCGCAGCUGUGGGAACCCAGUGGAUAGGUGCCUGUUGAUGGCUGGGCCACGAGAUAACGCCCGGUUCCUGUCACCUUUGGUCCUCUGCUGUGGUUUAUGGAGAAUAUCCAUCUUGGCCAUCUCAAGUCUAAUGUCAUGGACUGAUGGCUUGCAGAAUGGAACUCUGUUUUUCAGAGAUCUGAAGGCUGGAGAGAUGGAUGGAGAUGCCACCAUGGCUUGCAGGAAGUCCAUCUGGUCCCCACAUGUGAACUUCAAGGAUGCAUUGGAACAGCCCUCGAUUUUCCUGUAAUUACAUCAUAAUGAGUUUCAACUUUCCCUUUGGGCUCAAGAGAGGGCUGGAAUGCUCCUGGCAUUCCACUAUUUUCCCUUCUAUUUCCUCUCAAGUCAUCUUGAUUUUGUUCAACCCUCUGCACAUGGAAGAGAAAAAAGAAUUAUACUUGUCAUUAUUUUAUAGAUCCCCCCAAAAAUAAAAAUUGAAGCACUC